GGAAAAGAAACCAACAGGGAUUGCCCUAGUAACGGCGAGUGAAGCGGCAACAGCUCAAAUUUGAAAUCUGGCUUUCGGGUCCGAGUUGUAAUUUGUAGAGGAUGAUUUUGGUUAGGUACCUUCCGAGUUCCUUGGAACAGGACGCCUUAGAGGGUGAGAGCCCCGUACGGUUGGAUGCCGAGCCUCUGUAAAUCUCCUUCGACGAGUCGAGUAGUUUGGGAAUGCUGCUCUAAAUGGGAGGUAAAUUUCUUCUAAAGCUAAAUACCGGCCAGAGACCGAUAGCGCACAAGUAGAGUGAUCGAAAGAUGAAAAGCACUUUGAAAAGAGGGUUAAAUAGUACGUGAAAUUGUUGAAAGGGAAGGGCUUGUGACCAGACCUUUGCCUUGCGGAUCAUCCGGUGUUCUCACCGGUGCACUCCGCUUGGUUGAGGCCAGCAUCAGUUUCGGCGGCGGGAUAAAGACUUCAGGAACGUGACUCCCCCGGGAGUGUUAUAGCCUGCUGUGUAAUACCGCCGCUGGGACUGAGGACCGCGCUUCGGCUAGGAUGCUGGCAUAAUGGUCAUCAGCCACCCGUCUUGAAACACGGACCAAGGAGUCGAACAUUUAUGCGAGUUUUUGGGUGUUAAACCCUCAAGCGUAAUGAAAGUGAACGGAGGUGAGAGCCCUUACGGGUGCAUCAUCGACCGAUCCUGAUGUCUUCGGAUGGAUUUGAGUAAGAGCAUAACUGUUCGGACCCGAAAGAUGGUGAACUAUGCGUGGAUAGGGUGAAGCCAGAGGAAACUCUGGUGGAGGCUCGCAGCGGUUCUGACGUGCAAAUCGAUCGUCAAAUCUGCGCAUGGGGGCGAAAGACUAAUCG
rnacentral:rRNA from 1 species